rnacentral:lncRNA from 1 species
GAGUUUCCACUGCAGCUCUGGGGGGAAAAUUGCGGCUUCAUUUAAGGUUGUCCUGAAUUCCAUCAUGCUUAUAUUUCCACUCCACUCCAAGCUGAGCUUAUAUUUGGCACUCAUUAAAAAUUGGGAAAUCCAGAAACUUUCUUUUCUUCUGAUGUCAAAAGCUGCUGAUUCUUCCGCGUCUGCUAUUUUGCCGUGGGUAUCUUCGACAAGGGGCCUUAGGAAGCUGACCAGCAGAGCACAGACUUUCAGCAGAUUAAUUUCUACGGAGGUGUUAACGGAUGCCGCACCACUGAUAAUGCAGUAGCUGAUAAAGGCGAAUGGACCCAGCCGGACUUGUCCUGCCGGCUCUUCCACCACAUCCACAAAGAAGCUUCCAAACAGGGAUCCCAGGACUCUGGGAUCAGGACCAAAGCGGAAGGUAGUCACUUAACAGACUGAGUCACCCAGGUGUCCCAAUGCAAUCUUUUCUUAAAAGCGUUCUUUGUGUCUGGGGUUGGCUGGGUGGCUCAGCCGUACAAGCUUCUGACUCUUGGUUUCUGCUCAGGUCAUGAUCUCAACAUUGUGAGAUCAAACCCCAUGUCUGGCUCUAUGCUUGGUCAGAAUCUGCUUCAGAUUUUUUCUCCCUCCCCCUCUGCCUCUCCCUGCUUGUGGGCACACAUUCUCUCUCUCUCUCUCUCAAAUAACUAAGUAAAAUCUUUUCUU